rnacentral:rRNA from 1 species
GUCCACGCCGUAACGAUGUCGACUAGCCGUUGGCUCUUUAGGGCUUAGUGGCGCAGCUAACGCAUUAAGUCGACCGCCUGGGGAGUACGGCCGCAAGGUUAAACUCAAAUGAAUUGACGGGGCCCGCACAAGCGGUGGAGCAUGUGGUUUAAUUCGAUGCAACGCGAAGAACCUUACCUACCCUUGACAUCCAGAGAAUCUGUUAGAGAUAGCGGAGUGCCUUCGGGAGCUCUGAGACAGGUGCUGCAUGGCUGUCGU